AAUUGCCUACGGGAGGCAGCAGUGAGGAAUAUUGGUCAAUGGUCGGGAGACUGAACCAGCCACGCCGCGUGAGGGAUGAAGGUACAGAGUAUCGUAAACCUCUUUUGUCAGGGAACAAAGGCGGGGACGUGUCCCCGGAUGAGUGUACCUGAAGAAAAAGCAUCGGCUAACUCCGUGCCAGCAGCCGCGGUAAUACGGAGGAUGCGAGCGUUAUCCGGAUUUAUUGGGUUUAAAGGGUGCGCAGGCGGUCUGUUAAGUCAGCGGUCAAAGCCCGGGGCUCUACCCCGGCCCGCCGUUG
rnacentral:rRNA from 1 species